rnacentral:rRNA from 1 species
UACGUAGGGUGCAAGCGUUGUCCGGAAUUAUUGGGCGUAAAGAGCUCGUAGGCGGCUUGUCACGUCGACUGUGAAAACCCGGGGCUCAACUCCGGGCCUGCAGUCGAUACGGGCUGGCUUGAGUGCGGUAGGGGAGACUGGAAUUCCUGGUGUAGCGGUGAAAUGCGCAGAUAUCAGGAGGAACACCGGUGGCGAAGGCGGGUCUCUGGGCCGUAACUGACGCUGAGGAGCGAAAGCGUGGGGAGCGAACAGGAUUAGAUACCCUGGUAGUCCACGCCGUAAACGUUGGGCGCUAGGUGUGGGACCCUAUCCACGGGUUCCGUGCCGCAGCUAACGCAUUAAGCGCCCCGCCUGGGGAGUACGGCCGCAAGGCUAAA